AGAGUUUGAUCAUGGCUCAGGAUGAACGCUAGCGGCAGGCCUAAUACAUGCAAGUCGAACGAGAUUAAGAGGCUUGCUUCUUAUGAAAGUGGCGCACGGGUGCGUAACGCGUAUGCAACCUACCUUAAUCAGGGGGAUAGCCCGAAGAAAUUCGGAUUAAGACCGCAUAAAAACACAGGAUAGCAUUAUCCAAUGUUCAAAUAUUUAUAGGAUUAAGAUGGGCAUGCGUGUCAUUAGCUAGUUGGCGGGGUAACGGCCCACCAAGGCGACGAUGACUAGGGGAUCUGAGAGGAUGACCCCCCACACUGGUACUGAGACACGGACCAGACUCCUACGGGAGGCAGCAGUAAGGAAUAUUGGUCAAUGGAGGGAACUCUGAACCAGCCAUGCCGCGUGCAGGAAGACAGCCCUCUGGGUCGUAAACUGCUUUUAUUCGGGAAUAAACCUUUCUACGUGUAGGAAGCUGAAUGUACCGAAGGAAUAAGGAUCGGCUAACUCCGUGCCAGCAGCCGCGGUAAUACGGAGGAUCCAAGCGUUAUCCGGAUUUAUUGGGUUUAAAGGGUGCGUAGGCGGCUUAUUAAGUCAGGGGUGAAAGACGGUGGCUCAACCAUCGCAGUGCCCUUGAUACUGAUGAGCUUGAAUACACUAGAGGUAGGCGGAAUGUGACAAGUAGCGGUGAAAUGCAUAGAUAUGUCACAGAACACCGAUUGCGAAGGCAGCUUACUAUGGUGUUAUUGACGCUGAGGCACGAAAGCGUGGGGAUCAAACAGGAUUAGAUACCCUGGUAGUCCACGCCCUAAACGAUGAAUACUCGCUGUUAGCGAUAUACAGUUAGCGGCUAAGCGAAAGCGUUAAGUAUUCCACCUGGGGAGUACGCCCGCAAGGGUGAAACUCAAAGGAAUUGACGGGGGCCCGCACAAGCGGAGGAGCAUGUGGUUUAAUUCGAUGAUACGCGAGGAACCUUACCCGGGCUUGAAAGUUAGUGAAUGAUCUAGAGAUAGAUCAGUGAGCAAUCACACGAAACUAGGUGCUGCAUGGCUGUCGUCAGCUCGUGCCGUGAGGUGUUGGGUUAAGUCCCGCAACGAGCGCAACCCCUAUGUUUAGUUGCCAGCACGUUAAGGUGGGGACUCUAAACAGACUGCCUGUGCAAACAGAGAGGAAGGAGGGGACGACGUCAAGUCAUCAUGGCCCUUACGUCCGGGGCUACACACGUGCUACAAUGGAUGGUACAGAGGGCAGCAAGCUGGCAACAGCAAGCGAAUCUCAAAAAGCCAUUCACAGUUCGGAUAGAGGUCUGCAACUCGACCUCUUGAAGUUGGAUUCGCUAGUAAUCGCGUAUCAGCAAUGACGCGGUGAAUACGUUCCCGGGCCUUGUACACACCGCCCGUCAAGCCAUGGAAGUUGGGGGUACCUAAAGUAUGUAACCGUAAGGAGCGUCCUAGGGUAAAACCGAUAACUGGGGCUAAGUCGUAACAAGGUAGCCG
rnacentral:rRNA from 1 species